AAACCAUGAUGAGAGCACUGUCUUUAUAUAUUCUUGAAUCUAUCCCAUACUUGAAAUAAUGAUUCUCCAUAUGCUUGAGCAAAAUUUGUGAUGCAAUUCCUUAUGU